rnacentral:rRNA from 1 species
GUCGAACGGCAGCACAGUAAGAGCUUGCUCUUAUGGGUGGCGAGUGGCGGACGGGUGAGGAAUACAUCGGAAUCUACUCUUUCGUGGGGGAUAACGUAGGGAAACUUACGCUAAUACCGCAUACGACCUACGGGUGAAAGCGGAGGACCUUCGGGCUUCGCGCGAUUGAAUGAGCCGAUGUCGGAUUAGCUAGUUGGCGGGGUAAAGGCCCACCAAGGCGACGAUCCGUAGCUGGUCUGAGAGGAUGAUCAGCCACACUGGAACUGAGACACGGUCCAGACUCCUACGGGAGGCAGCAGUGGGGAAUAUUGGACAAUGGGCGCAAGCCUGAUCCAGCCAUGCCGCGUGGGUGAAGAAGGCCUUCGGGUUGUAAAGCCCUUUUGUUGGGAAAGAAAAGCAGUCGGUUAAUACCCGAUUGUUCUGACGGUACCCAAAGAAUAAGCACCGGCUAACUUCGUGCCAGCAGCCGCGGUAAUACGAAGGGUGCAAGCGUUACUCGGAAUUACUGGGCGUAAGCGUGCGUAGGUGGUGGUUUAAGUCUGUUGUGAAAGCCCUGGGCUCAACCUGGGGAAUUGCAGUGGAUACUGGGUCACUAGAGUGUGGUAGAGGGUAGCGGAAUUCCCGGUGUAGCAGUGAAAUGCGUAGAGAUCGGGAGGACAUCCGUGGCGAAGGCGGCUACCUGGACCAACACUGACACUGAGGCACGAAAGCGUGGGGAGCAAACA